rnacentral:rRNA from 1 species
GACGAACGCUGGCGGCGUGCUUAACACAUGCAAGUCGAACGGACAGACCCCUUUGGGGGUACUCGGAUGGCGCACGGGUGAGUAACACGUACGUAACCUGCACUUACCUUCGGGAUAACUUCAGGUAACUGGGGCCAAUACCGGUUCGGAAUCCUUUCUUCAUGGGGGGGGUUGGAAAGCUUCGGCGGUUUUGGAUGUCUUGGCGGGGUAUCGGCUUGUUGCGGGGGUAGUGGCUUACCAUGACUUUUAAGGGUAGCCAGCCUGCGUGGGCGACCGGCCACAUUGGGACUGAGAUACGGCCCAGACUCCUACGGGAGGCAGAAGUGGGGAAUAUUGCACAAGGGGCGGAGGCCUGAUGCAGCAACGCCGCGGGCGGUAUGACGGUCUUCGGGUUGUAAACCGCUUUCAGAAGGGGCGAAGCUUGUGGUGACGGUACCUGCAGAAGAAGCACCGGCUAACUACGUG